GGGAGAUUUGGUUUUCCCAUAAUGCUUCAUUUUUUUUCCCAAAAGGAGAGUGAAUUCACGUAAUGCUUAUGUAAUUUAAAAAAUCAUCAAACAUGUAAAAAGAAAAACGGGGGCGAACAUGCUGGGUGACAUGAGCUGUUUAACCUGCUGCCAGGCUCAGGAAUGAGGGCAUUUUCUGUAGAUCCAUGAGAAUGUCCCAGGUUGCUGCCUCUCCAGGGUGGUUUCCGUGGGUGCUCACAUGUGGCAUCGAGGUUACAAAGUGCUCUUCCCAUUUGAUUCAUGGUCACAAAAAUAGCCUUCCCAGGCCGGGCAGGCCCGCAUGCCCCCGUCUUUUACGGAGGUGGAAAUGGAGGUCCAGAGAGGCAAAGUGACUUUCCUGCAGUCACACAGCAGUGUCUGGUGGUGCCAUGCUCAGAGCUCCGCACUUUGGGUCCUGAGCUCCUCCCAGAUUUGCCUGCUCUCUGGAACCGACAUCUGUAGCUCCUUCCCAGGGAGAUCUGGGUCUCCCACUGCAUUUUGACCUCCCUGUGGCUGCAGGAGCUGCUGCUUCUUGGUCAGAUGGUAUCCCCUUCCCCCCCAGCAGUAUCUCAGGAUAAAAAUAAACCAUCCUGUUCUCUUUUCCUGCUGAGCCAACUGAGGGGGAGCCUAGCCAGGAGGAACGGCAGAUGGAGAGGGAGCAGAGGGGAGGGGAGGGGAGGGGAGGGGGGAGGGGAGGAAGGGUGGAGGACAAGGAGGAGAAGGAAGAGCAAUGCAAAGUACCCUGCAGAACCCGGCACAAAGGUUCGAGGCCUUUGCUGCAUUGCCGACGUGGAGGAAUUACAGGAAGACAGACUGUGGCACAGAAAAAGAGGGAUGUACGAAGCCACCUGACCAACAAAGCAGGCUGAUCCUGGAGGGCGUGAGGUGCCCGACACUGGAGGUCUCCUGUUUGGCUUUUUCUGCUGCUACGGGUCCUUUCAACGCAAGUGCACACUCAGGUUCUGCCUCAUGCCCUUCUUGUCUGGAGCUCCAUCUAGUCCCAGGGCCUUAGCCACCACCAGUGACUCUCAAAUGCACCUCUCUACCCAGCUUAAUUUCCAGCUGCCAUCUUGAUAUUUCUAUUUGGAUGUCCAAUAGAUGUUUUUAAUCUACAAGUCUGAAAUGGGGUCUUGUGCUACUCAUGCCUCUGCCUCUCCCCUUGCCUGCCUUGCUUUGGUAGAUGGUCACAACAUCUAGGAGUUAUCCUUGACUCCUCUCCUUUGCCUUUCCCAUCCAAUCCAUUAUCCACGCCUGCAAAUGUGACCUGCAAAUCAUACUCUGGAAUAGCCACUUCCCUUCAUUUCCUCAUGCCCUGGUCUGAGCGGCAUCACCUCUCACCUCCAGGCUGCAGCAGCCUCUGGGCUGCUCAUGCUGCUCUCAGCUUACAUCCCUCCAAACCCACCACAUGGCAGCUGGGGGAUCAAUGAUAGACUGGACAGGGAAAAUGUGGCACAUAUACACCAUGGAAUACUAUGCAGCCAUCAAAAAUGAUGAGUUCAUGUCCUUUGUAGGGACAUGGAUGAACCUGGAGACCAUCAUUCUCAGCAAACUGACACAAGAAGAGAAAAUGAAAUACCUCAUGUUCUCACUCAUAGGUGGGUGUUGAACAAUGAGAACACAUGGACACAGGGAGCAAAGCACUACACACUGGGGUCUGUUGGAGGGAAUAGGGGAGGGACAGCGGGGGGUGGGAGUUGGAGAGAGAUAGCAUGGGGAGAAAUGCCAGAUAUAGGUGAAGGGGAGGAAGGCAGCAAAUCACACUGCCACGUGUGUACCUAUGCAACUGUCUUGCAUGUUCUUCACAUGUACCCCAAAACUUAAAAUGUAAUUAAAAAAAGCUUUCGUCAGAUUACAUCACUCCACUCCUUAAAACUCUCAAAGGGCAUCCCUUUGUGCUUACAACAAAUCCAAGCCCUUUGCUCUGGUUUAUAAGGUGCAAUGUGACUGGGUGUGACUGGGUUUUUUUUCUGUCAGUUUCUCCCACUCCAUCCAUACCCCUCUCUCCCUUGCUCACUCUUCUCUCAUCACAUUACCCUGCCUUUGCCCUUGAACCUGCUGAGCUUGGUUCUACCUUGUUCCCUCUGCCCAGAACUUCUCCCCCUUGAUUUUUGCACACUCAGCACCUUCUCUUCCUUUAGCUAUCUGCUGGGAGGGUCGCCUCCUCUGAGAGGCCUUCCUGAGUACUCAGCAAUAGUCACACCAGACACCACUGCAUCCCUCUCUUUUUGCUUUUUGCCGAGCAUGACAGUUUCUUUUUGCUUUCCUCCACAUCAUUACAAACCCUACAGAAGAAGGAAUGUUACUUGUCUUGUUCAUUGCUGUAUUUCAGCGCCAAGAAUGGUACAUGAAUCAUAGAAGAUGAUUAUUAAGUAUUUGUUGAUUGAAUUAAUGAGUUGCAUUUUUUACAGUUACCUUUGAGGUAUGACAGGCGUCACUGUGUUCUUCCAUUUUAGAUGGUGACAUAGCUUUCCUUUUAAGAAUAAAGCAAAAGAAAAUCCGAUAAAAGACUUGAAU
rnacentral:lncRNA from 13 species